ACGGUGGACAUCGUGUGUUCAGGGUUAUGUGCCUCGCUAGUUUGCCUCCACACAAACUAGGAAGUUUAAUUCUGGUCUCAUCUGACCAGAGCAUGCAUUAUUUUACACGUUUACGUGAAGUUCACAUUAUGAAGUAGAAUAUGUCUCAUCAAUAAGACUACAAGAUGAAUUGUCUGGACUCAAAUAGAACAAAAACACUGGAAUCUCUGAUCUGUAAUUGGGGUUUCAAAAACAGAUGCUUUGUCGAGACAUUUUAAGUGAAAUGUUUUAUUGAAAGAGCACGCCCAGCUUGAGCAAAUUAUAACUAAAUAAAGGCAAAGAUGGGAAGAGGCCGGCCGAAAUGGA